rnacentral:rRNA from 1 species
GUAGGUGGCAAGCGUUGUCCGGAAUUAUUGGGCGUAAAGCGCGCGCAGGCGGUUCUUUAAGUCUGAUGUGAAAGCCCACGGCUCAACCGUGGAGGGUCAUUGGAAACUGGAGAACUUGAGUACAGAAGAGGAAAGCGGAAUUCCACGUGUAGCGGUGAAAUGCGUAGAGAUGUGGAGGAACACCAGUGGCGAAGGCGGCUUUCUGGUUUGUAACUGACGCUGAGGCGCGAAAGCGUGGGGAGCAAACAGGGAUUAGAUACCCUGGUAGUCCACGCCGUAAACGAUGAGUGCUAAGUGUUAGGGGGUUUCCGCCCCCUUAGUGCUGCAGCUAACGCAUUAAGCACUCCGCCUGGGGAGUACGGCCGCAAGGCUG